rnacentral:misc_RNA from 1 species
GAGAAACGCAGCGAAAUGCGAUAAGUAAUGUGAAUUGCAGAAUUCAGUGAAUCAUCGAAUCUUUGAACGCACAUUGCGCCCGCCAGUAUUCUGGCGGGCAUGCCUGUUCGAGCGUCAUUUCAACCAUCAAGCCCCCGGCUUGUGUUGGGGACCUGCGGCUGCCGCAGGCCCUGAAAACCAGUGGCGGGCUCGCUAGUCACUCCGAGCGUAGUAAUACAUCUCGCUCAGGGCGUGCUGCGGGUUCCGGCCGUUAAAAAGCCUUAUUUACCCAAGGUUGACCUCGGAUCAGGUAGGAAGACCCGCUGAACUUAAGCAUAUCAAUAAGCGGAGGA